rnacentral:rRNA from 1 species
CUGGGUGGAUGAGUGGCGAACGGGUGAGUAAUACGUGAGUAACCUGCCCUUGACUCUGGGAUAAGCCUGGGAAACUGGGUCUAAUACUGGAUAUGACAUGUCACCGCAUGGUGGUGUGUGGAAAGGGUUUUACUGGUUUUGGAUGGGCUCACGGCCUAUCAGCUUGUUGGUGGGGUAAUGGCUCACCAAGGCGACGACGGGUAGCCGGCCUGAGAGGGUGACCGGCCACACUGGGACUGAGACACGGCCCAGACUCCUACGGGAGGCAGCAGUGGGGAAUAUUGCACAAUGGGCGAAAGCCUGAUGCAGCGACGCCGCGUGAGGGAUGACGGCCUUCGGGUUGUAAACCUCUUUCAGCACGGAAGAAGCGAAAGUGACGGUACGUGCAGAAGAAGCGCCGGCUAACUACGUGCCAGCAGCCGCGGUAAUACGUAGGGCGCAAGCGUUGUCCGGAAUUAUUGGGCGUAAAGAGCUCGUAGGCGGUUUGUCGCGUCUGCUGUGAAAGCCCGGGGCUUAACCCCGGGUGUGCA